rnacentral:rRNA from 1 species
UGGGGAAUUUUGGACAAUGGGCGAAAGCCUGAUCCAGCCAUGCCGCGUGAGUGAAGAAGGCCUUCGGGUUGUAAAGCUCUUUUAGUCGGAAAGAAAGAGUUGCAAUGAAUAAUUGUGAUUUAUGACGGUACCGACAGAAAAAGCACCGGCUAACUACGUGCCAGCAGCCGCGGUAAUACGUAGGGUGCGAGCGUUAAUCGGAAUUACUGGGCGUAAAGGGUGCGCAGGCGGUCUUGCAAGUCAGAUGUGAAAGCCCCGGGCUUAACCUGGGAAUUGCGUUUGAAACUACAAGACUAGAGUGCAGCAGGGGGGAGUGGAAUUCCAUGUGUAGCAGUGAAAUGCGUAGAGAUGUGGAAGAACACCGAUGGCGAAGGCAGCUCCCUGGGUUGACACUGACGCUCAUGCACGAAAGCGUGGGGAGCAAACA